UAUUUAUCUUUUGCUCGCUGUCAGAGAAAUUAUUAACAUUUCCGUUUAUAUUUGUUUUAUAGGGUUUACUUCAAGUUUUCAAGCAAGGUUUAUUACAAAGUUAUGACCGGAAGAUGCCUUUUCCGUUCACCCCACUCAAAGGUGCCAUUCUCAAGAGGGGAAACAACUUUCAUACAGACGAAUCUACUCAAGGAUAAUGUUGCUGUGGCGAACACUGUGGAAUGGGAUUCAAUUCAAGUGCCGGAUGAAGUGGGACUUGAACAUGAAGCGUAGCUACCAUACAUGCAUACACAUACACAUGUAUAGCAUAGCCAGGGUCGGCCUGAGAUUGAAAAAAUCUCGAGAGAUUCUAGGCAAGGCAGACUUUAAAUGUAAGACUCUCAGUAUAUAAAUGAUAUGUUUGUCCUAAAUUUUUUUUUUUUUUUUUUUUGUUCUUCUUUUUGAGGCUCAUUUUUGUUGCAUUUGGUUAGAUUUCUUAUUUUUUUAAUUUUUGGUAGCCCAUCAUUUUUGAGGCCUUUUGUAGCGAUUAUAAUUUUUUUUUUUUUUUUUUUUUUUGUGACCCAACAUUCAUGGGCCUAUAAAUUUUAAUUUGCUGUAUUUGGUUGUAAUUUUUUUUUUUGUGGCCCAUCAUACAUGGACCUAUAAAUUUGGAAGCCCCUUAUAUUCUGAGGCCCUAGGCAACCGCCUUGGUCACCUUGGGCCAGGGCCGGCCCUUAGCAGCGCCUUAAUAUCUCGGUGAGAGGAAGCUAGGCUAAAGGUGGAGUUGCUCGUGUGAUUGUUAAUAAAAGGUGUUGGUGUCUGGUGAUGGUUUGGGUGGCUUGGUUCUCAGUCUUUUUAUCCAAGCCUAUUAUGCUUUGGGAGUGUUUUUUUUUUAUUAUAUUUAAUCAGGUCUGUAAAUUUGUUUGAACUAAUUUUCUGUAUGUAGUUUGGUCAUGGUUGGUUUUUAGUUGCCUUUCCCUUGUGCUCUUCGAUCCUUUACUUUUAUUAAUACAAAAAAGUAAUAAUAAUUAUUAUAAAAAAAAUCAUGCUUCAGCACCCCCACAAGCAUGUAAUUAUAUAAUGCAUCGAGUGCGUAAACAAUAUAAAUUAAAACACCUAAUAAGUUAACAACCACCCCUCCACAAACACACAGAAAAAAAAAAAAAAAAAAAAAAGAA